rnacentral:tRNA from 1 species
GGGGUCGUAGUUCAGUUGGUCAGAACGCCGGCCUGUCACGCCGGAGGUCGCGAGUUCGAGUCUCGUCGGCCCCGCCA